rnacentral:rRNA from 1 species
UACGGGGGGAGCAAGCGUUGUUCGGAUUUACUGGGCGUAAAGCGUGCGCAGGCGGUUUUGUAAGACAGAGGUGAAAUCCCCGGGCUCAACCUGGGAACUGCCUUUGUGACUGCAAGGCUUGAGUGCGGCAGAGGGGGAUGGAAUUCCGCGUGUAGCAGUGAAAUGCGUAGAUAUGCGGAGGAACACCGAUGGCGAAGGCAAUCCCCUGGGCCUGCACUGACGCUCAUGCACGAAAGCGUGGGGAGCAAACAGG